rnacentral:rRNA from 1 species
AAAGCGUGGGUAGCGAACAGGAUUAGAUACCCUGGUAGUCCACGCCGUAAACGAUGAGUGCUAGGUGUUAGGCCCUUUCCGGGGCUUNAGUGCCGGAGCUGACGCAAUAAGCACUCCGCCUGGGGAGUACGACCGCAAGGUUGAAACUCAAAGGAAUUGACGGGGGCCCGCACAAGCGGUGGAGCAUGUGGUUUAAUUCGAAGCAACGCGAAGAACCUUACCAGGUCUUGACAUCCCGAUGCUAUUCUUAGAGAUAGGAAGUUACUUCGGUACAUCGGAGACAGGUGGUGCAUGGUUGUCGUCAGCUCGUGUCAUGAGAUGUUGGGUUAGGUCCCGCAACGAGCGCAACCCUUAUUGUUAGUUGCCAUCAUUAAGUUGGGCACUCUAGCGAGACUGCCGGUAAUAAACCGGAGGAAGGUGGGGAUGACGUCAAAUCAUCAUGCCCCUUAUGACCUGGGCUACACACGUGCUACAAUGGUCGGUACAACGAGUUGCGAGCCGGUGACGGCAAGCUAAUCCCUGAAAGCCGAUCUCAGUUCGGAUUGGAGGCUGCAACUCGCCUCCAUGAAGUCGGAAUCGCUAGUAAUCGCGGAUCAGCACGCCGCGGUGAAUACGUUCCCGGGCCUUGUACACACCGCCCGUCACACCACGAGAGUUUGUAACACCCGA